rnacentral:tRNA from 2 species
GCGGGGGUAGCUCAGCUGGCCAGAGCGCCUGGCUUCCAACCAGGAUGUCGCGGGUUCAAAUCCCGUCCCCCGCUCCA